GCUGGGCCUGGGGUGGCCCCUUUAUUACCCCCUACGCUGUUCCCCGGGAGCUCACUGAAUCCCCAGCUGCGGGGGAGGGAAGGGAUCGGUCUGCCUGUUUAAUGCGUGGGGAACCUGAGUCCAGGGAGGGUCAUCACUGCGGCGGCGGGUGGCUCUGCUGCCUGGCCGGGGUGUACAAAACCCCCUCCUACCCCCCGGCCACCCCAUUCCUUUGCCCGAGUCCUGAGAUUCUCCCUUCGCCCCUCUCCCCCGGUUGUGACUUGGAGGCUGGUGACAGCUCUGGGAGCCGAGGACGAGGCGCUCUGUAGGGUCACCUUCCCCUCUGGGUGAAUUUGACCGCGCACUUUUCCAGGGACCUAGAAAGCGAAGAGCAAGCCUGAAACAUCUGACCUCACAGGAUCAGAGGCCCCCAGCCCCAGAGCCAGGCAGGGAUGGGAGGGGUCUGGAAUUACUGGUUUACCAGGACUGGUUGGGGCGAGGUCCAGACCCCUUGAGAUCUCCAGGGGUCCCAGUGUACCCCCAGGAGGCUGCUAACAGAGACGCAGGGUCCAAGCAUGCCUUCACCUGAACUUCAGUUUCUGGUCGAGCCAUAGUUGUUUGUGUAUCAGAGCUGCCCUUAGUGGCUCCCAGUGUUUUCCCCAACCCAAGGCACCCCUGGGUGCCUUCCAGCCCUGCCUGCUCCCAACCAGCUAGUGACCUGCACCUCCAGGGCUCCGGAAUGUCACAGGCCCGGCCUCGGCUUCUGACUCUGUAGCCUCGAUGGCCGCCUUCACCACUCUGCUUCUCCUGCUCAUCUGUGAGAUGGGUUAAUAACAGUGCCAGCCUCGCCUGGGCUAUGGCACUGAUACUGUGCCAGUCUUGACUUAGCACAGAGUCUGGCACUCAGUAAGCGCUCAGUACAGGGUCACUGUUGUUGGAACCGGUUGACUGUUAUUACAAUUAUUUCUGAAGGACUCACCAAGGCCUAGUGAAGCCCCCUCCCAUUCCCUCCAAGCAGAGCCGUGAGAACGCUGAGCCGGGAGCAGCCUGGCUCCUCCCCGUCCCCCACUGAGCUGAGUGUUGAAAUCCUCCCAGAGAAGCUGCUGGGCAGAAAUUUCCAGUCUCCCUGGCAAAGCCCGGAAGAGUCUGGGUGCGGCUCAGAGACGCAGUUGGGCAGGCUCUGCGGGGGCCAGGGCUGGGGAAGAGCCCCCAGAUGUUCUGCAAAGGGCAGCGCCCUGAUCCUGAGCAGUACCCAGCUUACAGCUCCAACCCCAGGGCUGCUGCAGCCCAGGCAAGAGCUCAUUGUCCUGCGCUGGUCGGUGAGGGCUGGGUGGGAAGGGUGCUGGUCGUACCCCUCCUUUGGCAAGCCCCUGUACCCCAGGUGUGUGAGUGAGCCCCUGGAAGACGGGAUCACAGGGUCCCUGUGAGCAUCCCACAAGUGGGGACUCUUUGCUUUAGUGACUUCCCGAUUGUGGGGCCAUCAGGCCAUCAAGAGGCCCUCUUUGCUGAUUCCUUGGCCCCCCAGGAGGACCAGAGGCCCCCGAUCUGGGGUGGUGGGUCUCACUGAGGCUGUGGAGAAGGGGCCCAGAGAACCCACCAGGGAACUGGCAGACAGUCUGACCCUUACUUUGCUCACAGGGCUGUAUGACCGAGGGUCACAACUCGGCCUCUCUCUACCCUGUUCUCCUUAUCUGCCAAACAGACAGUGAUCUGUGAGUCUCACUCAUCAGAAGGCAGUCAGGUGCCCUGAAGUGGGCGGAGACAGGGGUCGAGUCCCAGCGUUGCCCUCCACCUGACCGUCGACCUUGGGCAAGUCUGAAUGAGAUGGAAUAGGACUGAACAGCUCCCAUGAAGUAACGGAGGCUCAGAGAGGUCGAUUGAAUUUCUCAAGGACACACAGCUAGGAAAUGAGAGAGUCAGGAUUCAAACCUGGAUCUGCUGUCUUGGAGACUGAAUCCCUAAAGAAAAACCAAACUGAACACUUAAAAAAAAAAUUUUUUUUUUCAAGCACCUACUAUGUCUAAGACAUCGAGGUAUAACUACUCCAAAAGAAAAAAAAAAAAGAAGAAAAUUUUCAAAGGAGAGAGGAGAGCUGGGAGGCACAGACGUGGGAGGCUGCAGCAGGACUGAGCCAGGAUUGGUGGACCCAGGCCACCUCUCUUGACUCCCGGCUUUCCGGCAUUUUGAGUUAUGGGCGAUCUGGCAGCAUCUUCUCAGAGACAAGUGGAGCCGAGGCUGUGGGACCUGGAGACCCUCCUCUGACCUGGAGCCUGAGCCUCCCCUGAUUGACAGCUUCAGCCUGUCCCUGCUUGCCCCAGAAGACUGUCCUUACCAAACUCCUCCCCCUUGUGGGACACAGGCUGAGCCUUAAAUCCCCUUCUGGGCUAAAUGGGGACAGUUAUCCCAGGGGCCUCCUUCUGUCCUUGAGGACAGACUGUCCCCUGUAGGAGCACCGGGCACUGUGCUGGGUGUUUUAGGGACAAGUGUCUCUUAAUCUGAAUAGAAUCCAGCAGAAAAAGGAGAAAAAAGUAUUGCUCUUCCCAAUGGACAGAUGCGGAAAAGGGGCUCAGUGUCUUGCCCAAGCUUCACAGUGCAGGUGGAGUGGGAUUCUCACCCAGGAUGGGCUCACCCGAGAGUCCUGACCACUAGGCUGUCCUGCCUUGGGCUCUUCAGGAGAAAGUCCACCCCUCCUGUCUCCUCAGAUCUCUUGCCUUUGGCCCGCUCUGGUUUCUAGAAGAGGGGCUACAGUCACCCCCCCCAAGCCAUUCUCUGCCUGGGAUGCCUUUCCUCCUCCUUCUCCCCGCCAUUUACCAGGCGAACUCCUACUUGACUGGUGGAGCCCAGCAAAACCCUGACUUCCUUCCCAGAGAGUCCCAAACUGUACCUCCUGUCCCCUGAUCUGUGUUCCCACAGAGCUCCCCAAGAGUGGGGAGGGAAAGCUCAGGGGACGUGGCUGGGACAUGAGUUCCAACCCAGCCCUGCCUGGGCAGAAGGGAGGGUACAGUCAGCUUGUUCUGGGUGCUCAGAAGGGCAGGACUGGGGCAGAGUGGACGUGAGAAGGAGGAAGUCCUUGGCUCACCCAGGAAAAGAUGGAUGGGCCACCCCUGUGACUAGUUGGCUUAGAGGCCAGGAGAAAGACAAGUUCCAGAAGGAGAGGGAAGCAAAGAUCCAGACUGUCUAGCAGUGUCUGGCUGGCUCUCCACUAGCCCAAGACGAUAGCCAGGCCUUCCCAGUGUGUGUGCAACUGGGCCUCUGUGGCAAGGCUGGGGGUGGAGGAUUAUGUUCUGUGCACAGGAGCCCUAGACGCCUACGCCCAGUGAGCAUGUGCACAGAGAGACAAAAGCCUCCCCUGAGAGCCCAGAGACCCCCACCCUGGGGUGGAGACAAGCAGCAUUGGGAGCAGAGUGGUGUGGGUUCUUC
ensembl:lncRNA